AUUGAACGCUGGCGGCAUGCUUUACACAUGCAAGUCGAACGGCAGCGCGGGCUUCGGCCUGGCGGCGAGUGGCGAACGGGUGAGUAAUGCAUCGGAACGUGCCCAGUAGUGGGGGAUAGCCCGGCGAAAGCCGGAUUAAUACCGCAUACGACCUGAGGGUGAAAGCGGGGGACCGAAAGGCCUCGCGCUAUUGGAGCGGCCGAUGUCGGAUUAGCUAGUUGGUGGGGUAAAGGCUUACCAAGGCGACGAUCCGUAGCUGGUCUGAGAGGACGACCAGCCACACUGGGACUGAGACACCGCCCAGACUCCUACGGGAGGCAGCAGUGGGGAAUUUUGGACAAUGGGGGCAACCCUGAUCCAGCCAUGCCGCGUGCGGGAAGAAGGCCUUCGGGUUGUAAACCGCUUUUGUUCGGGAAGAAAUCCUCUGGGCUAAUACCCCGGGGGGAUGACGGCACCGGAAGAAUAAGCACCGGCUAACUACGUG
rnacentral:rRNA from 1 species